CGUUAGCGGCGGACGGGUGAGUAACACGUGGGUAACCUACCCAUAAGACUGGGAUAACUUCGGGAAACCGGAGCUAAUACCGGAUAAUAUUUCGAACCGCANUGGUUCGAUAGUGAAAGAUGGUUUUGCUAUCACUUAUAGAUGGACCUGCGCCGUAUUAGCUAGUUGGUAAGGUAACGGCUUACCAAGGCGACGAUACGUAGCCGACCUGAGAGGGUGAUCGGCCACACUGGAACUGAGACACGGUCCAGACUCCUACGGGAGGCAGCAGCC
rnacentral:rRNA from 1 species